AUUGAACGCUGGCGGCCUGCCUAACACAUGCAAGUCGAACGAGUGGCGGACGGGUGAGUAAUGUCUGGGAAACUGCUCGAUGGAGGGGGAUAACUACUGGAAACGGUAGCUAAUACCGCAUACCAUCGGAUGUGCCCAGAUGGAAUUAGCUAGUCGGUGGGGUAACGGCUCUCCUAGGCGACGUUACCUAGCUGGGCCGCGAGGAUGACCAGCAACACUGGGACUGAGACACGGGCCAGACUCCUACGGGAGGCAGCAGUAGGGAGUAUUGGACAAUGGGCGCAAGCCUGAGGCAGCCAUGCCGCGUGUAUGAAGAAGGUCUUCGGGUUGUAAAGUACUUUCAGCGGGGAGGCGUUACUCGCAGAGGAAGCACCGGCUAACUCCGUGCCAGCAGCCGCGGUAAUUC
rnacentral:rRNA from 1 species